AACGCUAGCUACAGGCUUAACACAUGCAAGUCGAGGGGGAGCAUUUUAGUUUGCUUGCAAACUAAAGAUGGCGACCGGCGCACGGGUGAGUAACACGUAUCCAACCUGCCGAUAACUCGGGGAUAGCCUUUCGAAAGAAAGAUUAAUAUCCGAUAGUAUAUUAAAACCGCAUGGUUUUACUAUUAAAGAAUUUCGGUUAUCGAUGGGGAUGCGUUCCAUUAGUUUGUUGGCGGGGUAACGGCCCACCAAGACUACGAUGGAUAGGGGUUCUGAGAGGAAGGUCCCCCACAUUGGAACUGAGACACGGUCCAAACUCCUACGGGAGGCAGCAGUGAGGAAUAUUGGUCAAUGGACGAGAGUCUGAACCAGCCAAGUAGCGUGAAGGAUGACUGCCCUAUGGGUUGUAAACUUCUUUUAUAUGGGAAUAAAGUAUUCCACGUGUGGGAUUUUGUAUGUACCAUAUGAAUAAGGAUCGGCUAACUCCGUGCCAGCAGCCGCGGUAAUACGGAGGAUCCGAGCGUUAUCCGGAUUUAUUGGGUUUAAAGGGAGCGUAGGUGGAUUGUUAAGUCAGUUGUGAAAGUUUGCGGCUCAACCGUAAAAUUGCAGUUGAAACUGGCAGUCUUGAGUACAGUAGAGGUGGGCGGAAUUCGUGGUGUAGCGGUGAAAUGCUUAGAUAUCACGAAGAACUCCGAUUG
rnacentral:rRNA from 1 species